rnacentral:rRNA from 1 species
CCUACGGGUGGCAGCAGUGGGGAAUAUUGGACAAUGGGGGGAACCCUGAUCCAGCCAUGCCGCGUGUGUGAAGAAGGCCUUUUGGUUGUAAAGCACUUUAAGCGGGGAGGAGGCUCUUGAGGAUAAUACCCUUGAUGAGUGGACGUUACCCGCAGAAUAAGCACCGGCUAACUCUGUGCCAGCAGCCGCGGUAAUACAGAGGGUGCGAGCGGCAAUCGGAUUUACUGGGCGUAAAGUUUGCGUGGGCGUGAAAUCCCCGAGCUUAACUUGGGAAUUGCAUUCGAUACUGGGAAGCUAGAGUAUGGGAGAGGAUGGUAGAAUUCCAGGUGUAGCGGUGAAAUGCGUAGAGAUCUGGAGGAAUACCGAUGGCGAAGGCAGCCAUCUGGCCUAAUACUGACGCUGAGGUACGAAAGCAUGGGGAGCAAACAGGAUUAGAUACCCUAGUAGUC